rnacentral:lncRNA from 1 species
GCCCACUAGACAUGUACACCUUACAAUCGUUCCAUACAACAAAUAUAGUAGACCUAUUGCAUAUAGUAUGAGAAAAACAGACCAAAACACAAAAAUUUAACUUUGACCACUGAACCAUGAAAAUGAGGUCAAGGUCACAUGACAUCUGCCCGCUAGACAUGUACACCUUACAAUCGUUCCAUACAACAAAUAUAGUAGACCUAUUGCAUAUAGUAUGAGAAAAACAGACCAAAACACAAAAAUUUAACUUUGACCACUGAACCAUGAAAAUGAGGUCAAGGUCACAUGACAUCUGCCCGCUAGACAUGUACACCUUACAAUCGUUCCAUACAACAAAUAUAGUAGACCUAUUGCAUAUAGUAUGAGAAAAAA